GAUGAACGUUGGCGGCGUGCCUAAUACAUGCAAGUCGAGCGAACGGACGAGAAGCUUGCUUCUCUGAUGUUAGCGGCGGACGGGUGAGUAACACGUGGAUAACCUACCUAUAAGACUGGGAUAACUUCGGGAAACCGGAGCUAAUACCGGAUAAUAUUUUGAACCGCAUGGUUCAAAAGUGAAAGACGGUCUUGCUGUCACUUAUAGAUGGAUCCGCGCUGCAUUAGCUAGUUGGUAAGGUAACGGCUUACCAAGGCAACGAUGCAUAGCCGACCUGAGAGGGUGAUCGGCCACACUGGAACUGAGACACGGUCCAGACUCCUACGGGAGGCAGCAGUAGGGAAUCUUCCGCAAUGGGCGAAAGCCUGACGGAGCAACGCCGCGUGAGUGAUGAAGGUCUUCGGAUCGUAAAACUCUGUUAUUAGGGAAGAACAUAUGUGUAAGUAACUGUGCAUAUCUUGACGGUACCUAAUCAGAAAGCCACGGCUAACUACGUG
rnacentral:rRNA from 1 species